UACGUAGGUGGCAAGCGUUGUCCGGAAUUAUUGGGCGUAAAGCGCGCGCAGGCGGUCUCUUAAGUCUGAUGUGAAAUCUCGUGGCUCAACCACGAACGGUCAUUGGAAACUGGGAGACUUGAGUACAGAAGAGGAGAGUGGAAUUCCACGUGUAGCGGUGAAAUGCGUAGAGAUGUGGAGGAACACCAGUGGCGAAGGCGACUCUCUGGUCUGUCACUGACGCUGAGGCGCGAAAGCGUGGGGAGCAAACAGG
rnacentral:rRNA from 1 species